rnacentral:rRNA from 1 species
UACGGAGGGGGCUAGCGUUGUUCGGAAUUACUGGGCGUAAAGCGCGUGUAGGCGGGUCCUUAAGUCGGGGGUGAAAGCCCGGGGCUCAACCUCGGAACUGCCUUCGAUACUGAGGACCUGGAGUCUGGGAGAGGUGAGCGGAAUUCCGAGUGUAGAGGUGAAAUUCGUAGAUAUUCGGAGGAACACCAGAGGCGAAGGCGGCUCACGGGACCAGUAAUGACGAUGAGACGCGAAAGCGUGGGGAGCAAACAGG